ensembl:lncRNA
CUCACAUGCCCAUCUCAUGCUUUGUGUUAGCAUUGAUCACUGUCAAAGAGCACAUGAUGACGGACCCAGGGAAUGGGUUUCGCUAAAAGUAUUGUGGCACUAAUAAUAAAUAAAUGUAAAGUGCAAGGUUGGGGAUUUCUAAGACUGUUAGCUCAUAGCAGACUUUACGGACUGUGUUGGGCAAAAUAAUUGUUGUAAAUUUUGAACCGGGGCCAAAUGUUUUACAUGGCGAUUACGUGCCAUGUGGUUGUCAGGUGUGAAAAUAUUCCAGUUUUCCUUCUGCCAUCUCACCGAGACACAUCUGAGACGGUUGAGCUCAGCUUGUCUACUUUAAGUGCUAAUCAAGCCACUCGAAAUGUAAAACUUACAGAAUAAGUAAUAACUAAUGCUGCUGUAGGGGAAAGGAAAUGUUGCGAGUUCUCUUGUCCAGACUACAGCUGUAUGAUAUCAUGGCAUAGAUACACAGACCUUUUGUAUUAGCUCAGUUUGACCCCGCCCCCACCAGGUUACAGGUCCCAGACUCGCCACACUCAGUCAGAAGUCGAGGUGACAUAAAUGUGAAAGCACAAGUAAUCAGGGUGUUGAAUACUUACAGGUUUGCACAUUUCACUAAAAUCAGAGCUUGUUCCAAGAAAUGCAACUACUGAGGUGGACGGUAUGGCUGCUAAGGAAAAUUUUUAGUAAUCAGUUAUUACAGGGACCAGUGCAGCCAUCGCAAACACUCUCGCACCCACAUUGCUUAGACUUUUGAGACUUAACGAGCAGAAUUUUCCAAAGAUGCAGAACUCCGAUCAUGUUGUGUAAAUCUGAAUGAGAAACAUUUACACAGCCGUAAGGACAACAUGGCACCACAUGUCUUAGACUACAACACCAGGUCACUGUAUUGAUUAUGUAAGCCUACAAUAUAUAUUCCAGUGUCAUGCAGGAUCAAAACUUUGCUUUUUCAAACACUGAGCAGAUGAAAUGUUAUGUAACUGCUACAAGUUGACAAAGUAACUGCACAGCAUACUGCGCAACAGUGGUCAGUGUUUCCUUUGUUUCUUAGGUUUUUGUUGUGUGUGUAUAUACAGUACCUGUGCUUAAUAUUGUGUGUUUUUAAGGGACCUUGUGCAAGAUGUGUUGUAGAGAUAGUCGUGAAACUAGAGAGUGAACACUGGUGAUUUUUUUGAUUUUUUUAAAUUUUAUUUUAUUUUUCUUCUUCUUUAAUAGUGCUUUACUGCCUAAUUUAGAAAACAUUUGACCACGCUGUUAGUUUAGCAUCUGGACUAGUUUUCACUCAAGCACAUCAAAGCAGGACAGAGAUGGGGGUUUUUCAUGCUACUGAUGAAAGUUUGAUGAAGAGAUCAACAUCUUUUUUUUUUCCUGUAGUUAAUGUGAUGCCACAGCUUCCAGUUAGUUACUUUAGCUUAGCUUUAAAAGGGAGAAACUCUGUCUGACUUUGUCCAAAGGUAAUCUUAGUCUGCCAUUAUGAAACGUAUAUAAUAAAAAAAGAUGGACCAAGUCUACCCGUUGGUUUUAAAGCCCUCUUCUGAAGCCUUGAUUUUAACAUUUUAUAAUUUUUGUCUUAUUGGUGCAUUUAAAACCUUCAAAUUGCACCACAGACAUAAUUAAAAGGUCCACGGCUGUGAACUAUGAAACAACUUCAGCGUAGCCAGUCUUUGCAUUAGUGGGCUUCACAAAACCUAAAACCUGCGUCAGAGGUGACGAGUAUCACAAUGAUGGUUAUCAACUUUCAGUGUUACCGCGAGCUCUCUGCUUCAGGUUCUGCUCAUGCAAAAAGGAGCUUUUCACGUGUCAUUUGACUUUUCUUCCACUCAAAACGGAUCAACUGAGUCACAUCUACUCCAGUCACAUUAUGAGAGGAGUGGGCACAUCUCUAAAGAUUAUUAUUUUAAAAAAUGACAGUAAAUUGCUAAACCAGAGCUGCGAAGAAAAUGACAGUAAUAAUCCAAAAGUUGUUAAUCUUGUGAAUUCAUGAUCAUCACAAGGGUACCAAGUGGCAAAAUGAAUAAACUCAACUUGUAUUUUUUUUUUUAUUGCAGUUUCAGUGCUGCUGUUUAUUUCUCAUAUGACAGCUGCACAUUCAAACUAGUUUAAAAAUGACUUACAAUGAUUGAGCAGGUUGUUUAUAUAAAGCAUGACUCCCAACAGAAAAUCUAGAUCAAACAUUGAAGCAUGUCAUAAAUAAAAUAACAAUUUUACCUUGAAACUUUAAACGUAUAAUUAAGGUUAGGGUUCUAUUUUCACCUGAAGUUACCACAGUGAUCUAGCCAGGUGAAAGGAGAGCCUCCUUUAUGAUUCUGAAAACUGAUUUUUUUUUUUUUUUUUUUUUGCUUAAAAUGGCUGCGAAACUAUAACCUUCAUAGCACACCCCUCAUUUGAGCAACGAGCAUACAGCUAGCAGCUACAAGCGCCCCUGUCAGCAUUGAUCUGUCAUUCAAGCUGCCACUUUCAUAAAUAUCAUUUUAAUGGAAUUUAAACAGGAAAAUUACUGAAGUAAUUUCUGUACCAGGCUGUGAACAUGAUUAUUUCUGCCUUGAAGUUGGGAGUUUUGACAUGGGGAUCAACUUAUCUUUGGGUCCAGCCUCAAGUAGCCAUUAGACAAAUUGUUCUUUAGGUGUCAGCCUAAAAAGUUCCCUUAAAGUAUCAAUUUUUAACACUUUGGCUUUAGACUAUUUAUCAAAAGCAGAUGCAGUCUUUUCUGCCGUUGGCUUUGCAUAUGCUGGUAUGAGCAGACAAGCUGGUUCCUCCUUUUUUUCAGACUUUGUGCUAAGCUGGGGUAUCAGGCUUCUAGCUGUAGUGCAUAAAUACGAGCGCGAUAUCAAUCUUAUCUAACUCUCAGCAAGAAAACAAAUAUUCUUUUCCAAAACUAUUGCAAGCUGAGACCAAGCAAACAAACCAGAGUAUUGCAUUUGCCAACAGAUGGAUAACCAAAAUGAAACUGAUUCCAGAAGGCUUGUGUUUUUCCAUUUCUGCUAACACAGAUUUUUCUAAACUAUAUGAUAUCUUGGUAGCCUGCUUUGAUUUGUUUGGUGGAUAACUUCACAGCAUAAAAUGCCUUUGGAUAUCACAUUGCUCUGCCUUUAGCCACGUGCCACAUUGUACACUACCCAGCAGUGACCUCACCAAUAGAAACAUGGUGAAUGGCGUGAUUGUAGCCCUCAGUGGGCAUCUUUAACUCCACAACGCAACACGGGUCAACAGUAGAUUUACAAAUUCACCUAAGCCACCAUUAACUUAACCUGCUAACUAGACUGGGAGCUGCUCAAAAUCUUGUACCAUUCUGCAGCCUUUGCUCAUCUAAGAAAAAAAAUGGUGCUGUACACAUUGGAAGCAUCACUUCCUCUGGUGAGGUCACCUAUUUAACAAUACACCACCUGAUCUCGUUUAGAAAUGCUGAAGUUAAAAUGCAGUUGGACCUUGCCAAUUAAUAAGCUUAGAUGAAAUAUAUACUGUGUGAUAGCUUUGCAUAUUUAUCAAUGAUGGGCCUUUUCCAUAAAAGGCAAACAGUAGUACAACAGUUUUGAGUAGCUCCUUAUUAAUGCAACAUACUGUACUGGAUAUGAAUGUAGCCAACUAUAUAUUUGUAGAACACCUACUGCAGUAUAUUUUCCUAAAAUGGCUUAAGUAGGCAAUCCAUUGCAACAUCUUUUUUAGGAUUUUAUUUCUUCAGUCAUAAAUGCAAAGAAACGACAUCAUACAGUUAAUAAACCAUUUGUGCUGCAUGGUAUAGUACAUGAACAAGAUGCAAGCACAGCUCCAGAUCCUCCAUAUCAGCUCAGCCAUGAGACGGCGACAGCCUCGCCUCAGCGUAUCGAACAUCAUAAGCUUAGUUGACUGAAUAACGAUUAGACAAAUGUGGUCUUGCCUGCAUGAUUUCUUUUUUAUUAUUAUUAUUAUUUGUUGUGUACAAAUAACAUUGUGAACUGUAUUUUUUUGUAUCAUUGAGAUUGUGACUGUUGUUUUUAUUAUAUUGUACAUAAAAGGCACUUUAUUUUAAUUUUUUUUAAAUAAAUGAAUAAAUACAUGUUUUGACACAUGCAUGUGGAAGUCC